GGGAAUUUUUUCCUGGAGUUUUGGGGCUUUUUAUGUACCUUCCAGGACCUGUCUAGGCUCUUUUUAGGCUCUUUUUGGGCUCUUUCUGCACCUUCUGGAACCUUCUCUGAACCUUCUCUGAACCUCCCAGGACCUUCCAGGAUCUUCUGGAACCUUCUCUGAACCUUCCAGAAAUUUCUGGGAUUUUUUGGGAAUUUUCUGGGAUUUUUUUCCCAGAAUUUUGGGGCUUUUUAUGCAUCUUUCUGGACCUGUCUCUGCUAUUUCUGGGCUUUUUUGGGACCUUCCAGGACCUUUUAUUCACCUUCCAGGACCUUUCUGAAUCUUCUGGGAGCUUCGAGAAAUUUCUGGACUUUUCUGGGGAAUUUUUGGGCUUUUUUCUGCAUCUUUCAGG
rnacentral:lncRNA from 1 species